GGACGCGUGGCGCAAUGGAUAACGCGUCGGUCUACGAAACCGAAGAUUGCAGGUUGGAAUCCUGCCGUGUUCG
rnacentral:tRNA from 1 species